rnacentral:rRNA from 1 species
UUCCCUGAGUAGCGGCGAGCGAAACGGGAAGAGCCCAAACCAAUAAGCUUGCUUAUUGGGGUUGUAGGACACUCUGUACGGAGUUACAAAAGAAUUUGUUAGACGAAUAACCUGGAAAGGUUAAUCAGAGAAGGUAAUAAUCCUGUAGUCGAAAGCGAAUUCUCUCUUGAGUGGAUCCUGAGUACGACGGAGCACGUGAAAUUCCGUCGGAAUCUGGGAGGACCAUCUCCUAAGGCUAAAUACUCUCUAGUGACCGAUAGUGAACCAGUACCGUGAGGGAAAG